UGGGGAAUUUUGGACAAUGGGCGAAAGCCUGAUCCAGCAAUGCCGCGUGUGUGAAGAAGGCCUUCGGGUUGUAAAGCACUUUUGUCCGGAAAGAAAUCCUCUGGGUUAAUACCUCGGGGGGAUGACGGUACCGGAAGAAUAAGCACCGGCUAACUACGUGCCAGCAGCCGCGGUAAUACGUAGGGUGCAAGCGUUAAUCGGAAUUACUGGGCGUAAAGCGUGCGCAGGCGGUUUUGUAAGACGGAUGUGAAAUCCCCGGGCUUAACCUGGGAACUGCAUUCGUGACUGCAAGGCUAGAGUAUGGCAGAGGGGGGUAGAAUUCCACGUGUAGCAGUGAAAUGCGUAGAGAUGUGGAGGAAUACCGAUGGCGAAGGCAGCCCCCUGGCAAGUACUGACGCUCAUGCACGAAAGCGUGGGGAGCAAAACAGGAUUAGAUACCCUGGUAGUCCACGCCCUAAAACGAUGUCAACUAGUUGUUGGGGGAUUCAUUUCCUUAGUAACGUAGCUAACGCGUGAAGUUGACCGCCUGGGGGAGUACGGUCGCAAGAUUAAAAACUUAAAUGAAUUGAC
rnacentral:rRNA from 1 species